rnacentral:rRNA from 1 species
CGAAAGGGAAACAGCCCAGACCACCAGCUAAGGUCCCAAAAUAACUGUUAAGUGGAAAAGGAUGUGGGGUUGCACAGACAACUAGGAUGUUAGCUUAGAAGCAGCUAUUCAUUCAAAGAGUGCGUAAUAGCUCACUAGUCGAGUGACCCUGCGCCGAAAAUGUACCGGGGCUAAAACAGUUUACCGAAGCUGUGGAUGACACAAAAGUGUCAUGGUAGGAGAGCGUUCUAUGUGUGAAGAAGGUGUACCGUGAGGAGCGCUGGAACGCAUAGAAGUGAGAAUGCCGGUAUGAGUAGCGAAAGACAGGUGAGAAUCCUGUCCACCGUAAGACUAAGGUUUCCAGGGGAAGGCUCGUCCGCCCUGGGUUAGUCGGGACCUAAGGAGAGACCGAAAGGUGUAUCCGAUGGCCAACAGGUUGAUAUUCCUGUACUAGAGUAUAUAGUGAUGGAGGGACGCAGUAGGCUAACUAAACCGGACGAUUGGAAGAGUCCGGCUAAGCAGUGAGGUGUAAGAUGAGUCAAAUGCUUAUCUUUAUAACAUUGAGCUGUGAUGGGGAGCGAAUUUUAGUAGCGAAGUUAGUGAUGUCACACUGCCAAGAAAAGCUUCUAGCGUUUAAUGAUACUCUACCCGUACCGCAAACCGACACAGGUAGUCGAGGCGAGUAGCCUCAGGUGAUCGAGAGAACUCUCGUUAAGGAACUCGGCAAAAUGACCCCGUAACUUCGGGAGAA